rnacentral:rRNA from 1 species
UACGAAGGGUGCAAGCGUUACUCGGAAUUACUGGGCGUAAAGCGUGCGUAGGUGGUUCGUUAAGUCUGAUGUGAAAGCCCUGGGCUCAACCUGGGAAUUGCAUUGGAUACUGGCGGGCUGGAGUGCGGUAGAGGAUGGCGGAAUUCCCGGUGUAGCAGUGAAAUGCGUAGAGAUCGGGAGGAACAUCCGUGGCGAAGGCGGCCAUCUGGACCAGCACUGACACUGAGGCACGAAAGCGUGGGGAGCAAACAGGAUUAGAUACCCUGGUAGUCCACGCCCUAAACGAUGCGAACUGGAUGUUGGGAGCAAUCAGGCUCGCAGUAUCGAAGCUAACGCGUUAAGUUCGCCGCCUGGGGAGUACGGUCGCAAGACUGAA